rnacentral:rRNA from 1 species
UACGUAGGGUGCGAGCGUUGUCCGGAAUUAUUGGGCGUAAAGAGCUCGUAGGCGGUUUGUUGCGUCGGCCGUGAAAACCUGCAGCUUAACUGUGGGCCUGCGGCCGAUACGGGCAGACUUGAGUUCGGCAGGGGAGACUGGAAUUCCUGGUGUAGCGGUGAAAUGCGCAGAUAUCAGGAGGAACACCGGUGGCGAAGGCGGGUCUCUGGGCCGAUACUGACGCUGAGGAGCGAAAGCGUGGGGAGCGAACAGG